CCUACGGGAGGCAGCAGUGGGGAAUAUUGGGCAAUGGAGGAAACUCUGACCCAGCGACGCCGCGUGCGGGAUGAAGGCCUUCGGGUUGUAAACCGCUUUCAGUAGGGAAGAAGCGAAAGUGACGGUACCUACAGAAGAAGCACCGGCUAACUAUGUGCCAGCAGCCGCGGUAAUACAUAGGGUGCAAGCGUUGUCCGGAAUUAUUGGGCGUAAAGAGCUCGUAGGUGGUUCGUCACGUCGGAUGUGAAAAUCUGGGGCUCAACCCCAGACCUGCAUUCGAUACGGGCGAUCUAGAGUGUGGUAGGGGAGACUGGAAUUCCUGGUGUAGCGGUGGAAUGCGCAGAUAUCAGGAGGAACACCAAUGGCGAAGGCAGGUCUCUGGGCCAUUACUGACACUGAGGAGCGAAAGCGUGGGGAGCGAACAGGAUUAGAUACCCUGGUAGUCCACGCCGUAAACGGUGGGCACUAGUUGUGGGAACCUUCCACGGUUUCUGCGACGCAGCUACGCAUAGUGCCCGCCGUCGGGUAGGUACGAGUCGCGAGAUUAAACUACAAUAGAAGUUAGACGGCGUGAGACGUGCCGACGGACGACCGACGAGGGAGGUUAGG
rnacentral:rRNA from 1 species